AAGUUCCUUUCACCCCGAUAGAGCCAUUUGAAGUGUGGUGGGAAAGGCAUACUUGAAAUCUUGGAAUUGUAGCCCCAAAUUCUCUUGAACCAAUCUUGGUAUCUGCAACAGAUCAUAGUCAGGAAAAGGAAGUAAAAGAAACAGACUGCUUCUGACACCCAUCCCCCUCUACUGCUAAGCUCACUUGCAGACAGUCACAAAGGAGACCAGGCAAGAACUGAGAGCAUUUAUCAGUGAAGAAAUUGACACAAAUACUGAAGAUUCCCAGCUAAACUGCAGUUUGCAUAAAAUUUACUUUGAGGGGUAACCUUCAGAAGAACCAUUUCAAAUUUCACUGGACUAACAAAGAAAGGAACAGAAAACCCCAAACUCUUUCACCUAAGAUGACAAAAGAACCAGUACUGUGAGACUUCUGGAGGAGAUCCUGACCGCAGCUCAGUCACCAUUUUUCUGGAAGACCAUGAGUGAGAAAAGAUAUCUUGAACAAAGCCCGUACAUUGCUAGAUUAAGUUUUAUACUUUUAAGUGCACGUCUCACUUUAUUUCUUAGAGUUCAACUCACUUAAAAUCCGGUCGUCUUUUGUUAAAUCUACUUGUUUUACUAUUACUCUAAACCAACAGUGCUGUGUUGAAAUUAAAGUGAACAUUAACUCCA